CCCUUAGAUGUUCUGGGCCGCACGCGUGCUACACUGAGUGGAUCAGCGGGUCAGGUUGCGCGAAAGUGUUUCCUAAUCUUUAAAUCCGCUCGUGAUGGGGAUUGACGGUUGCAAUUUUCCGUCAUGAACGAGGAAUACCUUGUAAGCGCGGGUCAUCAUCCCGCGCUGAAUACGUCCCUGCCCUUUGUACACACCGCCCGUCGCACCUACCGAUUGGAUGGUCCGGUGAAGCCUCGGGAUUGUGGUUCUUGCCGCUUUAUUGUGGCGUGACCGCGAGAACUUGUCUAAACCUUAUCAUCUAGAGGAAGGUGAAGUCGUAACA
rnacentral:rRNA from 1 species